rnacentral:snoRNA from 1 species
AAAAGAAAAAGAGCGAAGAGUGACAGUUUUCCUGGGUGGUUGCUGUUCUGUUUGCUGUAACCAAUCUGCAACAUUUCAGAAAAAGACAGUU